rnacentral:rRNA from 1 species
UACGUAGGGUGCGAGCGUUGUCCGGAAUUACUGGGCGUAAAGAGCUCGUAGGUGGUUUGUCGCGUUGUUCGUGAAAACCUGAGGUUUAACCUUGGGCGUGCGGGCGAUACGGGCAGACUGGAGUACUGCAGGGGAGACUGGAAUUCCUGGUGUAGCGGUGAAAUGCGCAGAUAUCAGGAGGAACACCGGUGGCGAAGGCGGGUCUCUGGGCCGUAACUGACGCUGAGGAGCGAAAGCGUGGGGAGCGAACAGG